GGUGUAUUAGUUCAAUGGUAGAACCUGACGUUUCGGCCGUUAUGAUACCAGUUCGAAUCUGGUAUGCACUU